UACGUAGGGUGCAAGCGUUAAUCGGAAUUACUGGGCGUAAAACGUGCGCAGGCGGUUUUGUAAGACAGAGGUGAAAUCCCCGGGCUCAACCUGGGAACUGCCUUUGUGACUGCAAGGCUUGAGUGCGGCAGAGGGGGAUGGAAUUCCGCGUGUAGCAGUGAAAUGCGUAGAUAUGCGGAGGAACACCGAUGGCGAAGGCAAUCCCCUGGGCCUGCACUGACGCUCAUGCACGAAAGCGUGGGGAGCAAACAGG
rnacentral:rRNA from 1 species